UAAAGAGUUUCGGUUAUCGAUGGGGAUGCGUUCCAUUAGUUAGUUGGCGGGGUAACGGCCCACCAAGACGACGAUGGAUAGGGGUUCUGAGAGGAAGGUCCCCCACAUUGGAACUGAGACACGGUCCAAACUCCUACGGGAGGCAGCAGUGAGGAAUAUUGGUCAAUGGACGAGAGUCUGAACCAGCCAAGUAGCGUGAAGGAUGACUGCCCUAUGGGUUGUAAACUUCUUUUAUAUGGGAAUAAAACAGGGUAUGCAUACCCUCUUGUAUGUACCAUAUGAAUAAGGAUCGGCUAACUCCGUGCCAGCAGCCGCGGUAAUACGGAGGAUCCGAGCGUUAUCCGGAUUUAUUGGGUUUAAAGGGAGCGUAGGUGGAUUGUUAAGUCAGUUGUGAAAGUUUGCGGCUCAACCGUAAAAUUGCAGUUGAAACUGGCAGUCUUGAGUACAGUAGAGGUGGGCGGAAUUCGUGGUGUAGCGGUGAAAUGCUUAGAUAUCACGAAGAACUCCGAUUGCGAAGGCAGCUCACUAGACUGCAACUGACACUGAUGCUCGAAAGUGUGGGUAUCAAACAGGAUUAGAUACCCUGGUAGUCCACACAGUAAACGAUGAAUACUCGCUGUUUGCGAUAUACAGUAA
rnacentral:rRNA from 1 species